rnacentral:rRNA from 1 species
AGAGCGAACGCUGGCGGCAGGCCUAACACAUGCAAGUCGAGCGGCCGUAGCAAUACGGCAGCGGCAGACGGGAUAGUAACACGUGGGAACGCGCCCUUCGGUUCGGAAUAACUCAGGGAAACUUGAGCUAAUACCGGAUACGCCCUUACGGGGAAAGAUUUAUUGCCGAAGGAACGGCCCGCGUCGGAUUAGCUAGUUGGUGAGGUAAUGGCUCACCAAGGCGACGAUCCGUAGCUGGUCUGAGAGGAUGACCAGCAUCACUGGGACUGAGACACGGCCCAGACUCCUACGGGAGGCAGCAGUGGGGAAUAUUGGACAGUGGGCGCAAGCCUGAUCCAGCCAUGCCGCGUGGAUGAUGAAGGCCCUAGGGUUGUAAAGUCCUUUUAACGGGGAAGAUAAUGACGGUACCCGUAGAAUAAGCCCCGGCUAACUUCGCGCCAGCAGCCGC